ACCGUCCCUGUGUUCUUGAUUGGGCCUCUGCAAAAUACACAGUAUGCGCAGGAAGGCAGAGAUCGGGCUUCCGGGUUAAAUGUGAUUUCUCGUAUGUGCAGUAUCAGCAGUCAACCUAACAGAAAUAACCGGGUUAAGUAACCUUAAGCUAGACCUAUCUCCCUGUGAUUCCAUCAUGGGUAUUAGUUCUGUGUUAGGAGACUAUGGGAAAGAUUAUUUUGACUAUCUUUUUCUGCUCCGUUUCCCUUUUUCACUGCACUCUGCAUCUUUUUUAUAGUGUUUUUAUUAGUGUAUAUUAAUUGUGUGCCGUAAAGGGUUUCAUUAUUCCACCCUCAUGCAUGUUCACAAUGCAUUUGGAUCACAUCACCCUUGAUUCACUUAGGUCUUCAUGUGGUAUGCUCUGGUCCCUUAUUGCUUUCAUCAGUCCUUUUCUUUAUACAGUUGAAGCAUUUUCCAAUUAAAACUAACCCAGCACUCUGUAAACUUUCUAGGAUAUAUGAAAUAUUGAUGGAUUUUUUUUCCUUCGGUUUUGGUGUGUGCCUUAUAACUUCCUGUUUUGUUGUAUUGUUGAUAUAUCCUUUUCUGGUUAAAUAGAGAGGACAAAUUAUGCUGAUAAGGAACAAAAAAGUGGGUUAUAAAUUGUUGUCAUUUUUAUUCUAAGAUCUAGGGUAAGAUCUCUUUUUUAAAUUUGAGCUCAGUGAUAGAAUGACUCCCUAAUGUAUACAGGGUCCUGGGGUUUAGUCCCCAAUACUCACCCCCCCACCACACACACACUAAUUAAUUUUUUAAAAAAUCAAUAAAAUAAUUUUAAAAGUUGAGGAUCUCAACUGGGUGUAGUUACACAGGCCUUUAAUCCCAGCACUUGGGAGGCAGAGGCAGGUAAAUCUCUGUGAGUUUGAAGCCAGCCUGAUCUACAAACUGAGUUCCAGGACAGCCAAGGCUAUGUAGAAAGAUCUCCUCUAAAAGAAACAAAAACAAGGGCUGGAGAGAUGGUUCAGAGGUUAAGAGCACUGGCUGCUCUUCCAGAGGUCCUGAGUUCAAUUCCCAGCAACCACAUGGUGGCUCACAACCAUCUGUAAUGAGAUCUCGUGCCCUCUUCUGGCAUGUAGGUAGAACACUGUAUACAUAAUAAAUAAAUCUAAAAAAAAAAAAAAAGAAAGAAACAAAAACAAAAGUUGAAGGUGUCAUGUGCCCUUGAUACACAAAAUUGUGAAUGGUUAAAUUUGGGCAAAAAAAUUAUUAACCUACUUUUCAGACAGGAGACUUGGUGGCUACAUUAACACCUUUGUUUUUUUUUUUUUUUUUUUUUUUUUUUUUAUUGUUUGUUUGUUUGAUUUUUGGUUUUUCGAGACAAGGUUUCUCUGUUUAGUUUUGGAGCCUGUCCUGGAUCUCGCUCUGUAGACCAGGCUGGCCUCGAACUCACAGAGCUCUGCCUGCCUCUGCCUCCUGAGUGCUAGGAUUAAAGGCGUGUGCCACCACCACCCGGCCCUUUGUUGUUACUUUAAUGUUGUUUGUAAAACAAAAGUAGGUGCCGUUGCUUCUCUGGCAGUGGUGGAAACAGCUGACACACUAGUUGUGGAAGGAAGAUUAAGCAGAUGAAGAGCUGAAACUGCUGCCCUUGAGGGGAAGGGCCCCAAAAGUCUCCAGGCAUGAGGCGUGGGAGACUGAGCACUGAGAAGGACCCAGUGCAAUUUCAGACUUCUCAAAAGCAAACAUUUUUUAAGGUUAAAAACUGUUGGGGAGUUUUGUGUUUUCAAUAUAGAAAAGCAUUUCUUUUUCUUUUUCCUUUUUUUGAGACAGGGUUUCUCUGUGUAACCCUGGCUGUCCUGGAACUCACUCUGUAGACCAGGCUAGCCUCAAACUCAGAGAGAUCUGCCUGCCUCUGCUUCCCGAGUGCUGGGAUUAAAAGCGUGUGCCACCAUCACCUGGCAGAAAAACAUCUUUUUAUUACAAAAUUGUACAUGUUUCUUGUAAGAACUGAAAUUAUAUGUAAAUGUAUAUAAAGAGCAGAAGCUCACAUAGAAAGAACCCUUUUUAUCCCAGCCUGCAAGUAAAACUGUUAACAGUUGUGUCUCCUUGAACAGAUCUGGUUUGGAGUUUCUUCUUUCUCUCCUCCAGUCCUCCCUCCCUCGGUGGCAGAGUCUCACGAUGCAGCUCUGGAUGGCCAAGAACUCACUAUGUAAAUCAGACUGGCCUGGAACUCACAGACAUCCUCCUGUCCCUGCCUCAGAGCUGCUAGGAUUAAAGUUGUUAGGUACCUCCAGCAGCAGAAAUCAUUUUUAAGUAGAGUUUUGAUUUACUCUGAUAAGACAUUGAUGGACAUCCUUCAACUGAAGGACAUAUUGCGGAGGCGGGUCUGUAACUAGGUUUAAGGUAUUGAUUGGUACAUUAUUUACUUCUUUCUCUUGUAUAUCUGUGUGAGGCCUGAGAUUGGUGUCAGGUUCUCUUCUUGAUCAGUCUCCACCUUAUUUAUUGAGGCAGGGUCUCGGAUGAACCUGGAGCCACCAGUUCAGCUAGCAUGCCAGCUGCUCUGGGGAUUUCCUCUCUCCAGUUUUCAUGCUGGGAUUACAAGUGGGCUGUUAUAUCCAACUAGCCUUUGGCAUUUUUUUCUUGGCAUGGGUUCUAGGGAUCUGAACUUAAGGCACGUUUGCAUAGAAGCACUUUAUCCAUCUCCCCAGUCUCAUUAAUGAAUUUUUUUGUAAAGAGUACAUAGCCAGGUAGUGGUGGCUCACACCUUUAAUCCCAGCACUUGGGAGGCAGAGGCAGGUGGAUCUCUGAGUUGUAGGCCAGCCUGGUCUACAGAGUGAGUUCCAGGACAGCCAGAGCUGUUACCCAGAGAAACCCUGUCUCGGAAAACAAAAAAACAAAAACAAAACAAACAAACAAAUCAUAGUUAUAGUCACCUGUUUAAAAAGUUCAUCCUUUUAAUUGCUGCGUGAUAUUCCAUUAUAAGAUUCCCUAUCCCCCAGAUUAUAAAUGAUGUAAAUUUUUUUUUUUUCUUUUGGUUUUUCGAAACAGGGUUUCUCUGUGUAGCUUUGCGCCUUUUCCUGGAACUCACUUGGUAGCCCAGGCUGGCCUCGAACUCACAGAGAUCCGCCUGCCUCUGCCUCCCGAGUGCUGGGAUUAAAGGCGUGUGCCACCACCGCCCGGCCUAAAUGAUGUAAAUUUUACUUGUUUCCAAGAUAUUUUAAACAGUAAAUAGUUUAUUUAUUUAUUUAUUUUGGUUUUUUUGAGACAGGGUAUCUCUGUAUGGCACUGGCCAUUCUGGAGCUCGAUCUGUAGACCAGCCUAGCCUUGAACUCAGAACUCAGAGAUUGACCUGCCUUUGCCUCCUGAGUGCAAGGAUUAAAGGUAUGUUCCACCACCACCUGGCUCAUAGUAAAUAUUCCUAAACAUUAGAGCUUUUCUUCUUGUUUUGUGGAGGAACCUUAAACCCAAGGCCUUGCACAUGAUAGGCAAGCACUGUUUACCUCUGAGCUGUCUUCAGUUGUACUUAACCUCUGAAUUUUUGGAAAUAGAAUUAUAGUAUUAAGGACAGGUGCAUUAAAUUGUGAUACAUAUUCCUAAAAUGCUGGCUUGAAAAAAAUCCAGGAUGGUAUUUUAGACAGAGGUACACUUUGUAACUUUGUUCUUUUUAAGUAACCUUUCUUUCUGAAGAGUAGCAAUGAACGUUAUCCACGUUUGCUUUUGGUCUCCAGACAUCACUCAAAAAAUAUCUAUCAAAAACAUUUUAAAUUUAGUGUGUGUGUGUGUGUGUGUGUGUGUGUGUGUGUAUGUAUGUGUAUGUGUAUGUGUAUGUAUGCGUAUGCACAUGCAAGUGCAGGUAUACAUAUACCACAGCAUGAAUGUAUGGUUCAGAGGACAGAGAACCAGUUCUCUCUUGCCACUUUGUGAGACCUAGGAAUUGAACUUCAGUUAUUGAGCCUGCCCAGGAGUGCCUCUACCCACUGAACCAUCUUGCCAGACUCACUCAGGCCUUUAGUUAACAAAGCAAAAAAAAAAAAAAAAAGAAAAAAUCAGCAGGAGCCGGGCAUGGCAAUUCAUGCCUAUAAUCCCAGCACUCAGGAGGCUUUGGCAACAGAUUGGCAAAUUUGAGGACAGCUGGACCACAUUGUGCAGCAAUUUUCAACCUAUAGGUCAUAACUCCUUUGGGGUCAUAUAUCAGAUAUCCUGCAUAUCAGUUAUUUACAUUACAAUUCGUAACAGUAGCAAAACUACAGUUAUGAAGUAGCAAUGAAAAUAACUUUAUGGGGGCUGGAGAGAUGGCUCAGCAGUUAAGAGCACUGGCUGUUCCAGAGUUCAAAUCCCAGCAACCACAUGGUGGCUCACAACCAUUUGUAAUGAGAUCCGGUGCCCUCUUCUGACCACCUGCAGGCAUACAUGCAGGCAGAACACUGUAUACAUAAUAAAUAAAUCAAUCUUUAAAAAAAAAAAAAAG